AUUGAACGCUGGCGGCAUGCCUUACACAUGCAAGUCGAACGGCAGCAUGAUCUAGCUUGCUAGAUUGAUGGCGAGUGGCGAACGGGUGAGUAAUACAUCGGAACGUGCCCUGUAGUGGGGGAUAACUAGUCGAAAGAUUAGCUAAUACCGCAUACGACCUGAGGGUGAAAGUGGGGGACCGCAAGGCCUCAUGCUAUAGGAGCGGCCGAUGUCUGAUUAGCUAGUUGGUGAGGUAAAGGCUCACCAAGGCGACGAUCAGUAGCUGGUCUGAGAGGACGAUCAGCCACACUGGGAUUGAGACACGGCCCAGACUCCUACGGGAGGCAGCAGUGGGGAAUUUUGGACAAUGGGCGAAAGCCUGAUCCAGCAAUGCCGCGUGUGUGAAGAAGGCCUUCGGGUUGUAAAGCACUUUUGUCCGGAAAGAAAUGGCUCUGGUUAAUACCUGGGGUCGAUGACGGUACCGGAAGAAUAAGGACCGGCUAACUACGUG
rnacentral:rRNA from 1 species